rnacentral:rRNA from 1 species
UACGAGGGGUGCAAGCGUUGCUCGGAAUUAUUGGGCGUAAAGGGUAGGUAGGUGGUCUCAUUUGUCUGAUGUGAAAUCCUUGGGCUUAACUCAAGAAGUGCGUCAGAAACGGUGAGACUCGAGUCUUGGAGAGGGUCGUGGAAUUCCCGGUGUAGCGGUGAAAUGCGUAGAGAUCGGGAGGAACACCAGAGGCGAAGGCGGCGACCGUGGACAAGUACUGGACACUCAACUACGAAAGCGUGGGGAGCAAACAGG